rnacentral:rRNA from 1 species
AGACCGAUAGCGAACAAGUACCGUGAGGGAAAGAUGAAAAGCACUUUGGAAAGAGAGUUAAACAGUACGUGAAAUUGCUGAAAGGGAAACGCUUGAAGUCAGUCGCGUUUGCUAGAACUCAGCCUGGCUUUUGCUUGGUGCAUUUUCUAGUAAACGGGCCAGCAUCACUUUUGGUUGCGGGAUAAAGGUCGCAGGAAUGUGGCACCUUCGGGUGUGUUAUAGCCUGUGAUUGCAUACCGUGGCCGGGAGUGAGGAACUCAGCACGCAUUUGUUGUGCUUAGGAUGCUGGCGUAAUGGCUUUAAACGACCCGUCUUGAAACACGGACCAAG